GGUUGAUCCUGCCAGUAGCAUAUGCUUGUCUUAAAGAUUAAGCCAUGCAUGUGAAAGUUCAGUUGCAGGAGUGAUGAUUAUAGGAGGGAAAAGGGAGCAUUUUGUUUCUUUUUUCAAUCUAUGGUUGUUUUCCUGGACCAACGAAACUGCAGAUGGCUCAUUAAAACAGUGCUAAGCUACGGAGUGGAAUCCUGUCGAAAUUUUUUUCAUUUGAGCAAUUGAUUGAGAAAAACGAGACGAUAUAAGGAUAACUGUGGUAACUCCAGAGCUAAUACUUGC
rnacentral:rRNA from 1 species